rnacentral:rRNA from 1 species
GAUGAACGCUGGCGGCGUGCCUAAUACAUGCAAGUCGAGCGAACGGACGAGAAGCUUGCUUCUCUGAUGUUAGCGGCGGACGGGUGAGUAACACGUGGAUAACCUACCUAUAAGACUGGGAUAACUUCGGGAAACCGGAGCUAAUACCGGAUAAUAUUUUGAACCGCAUGGUUCAAAAGUGAAAGACGGUCUUGCUGUCACUUAUAGAUGGAUCCGCGCUGCAUUAGCUAGUUGGUAAGGUAACGGCUUACCAAGGCAACGAUGCAUAGCCGACCUGAGAGGGUGAUCGGCCACACUGGAACUGAGACACGGUCCAGACUCCGACGGGAGGCAGCAGUGGGGAAUCUUCCGCGAUGGGCGAAAGCCUGACGGAGCAACACCGCGUGAGUGAUGAAGGUCUUCGGAUCGUAAAACUCUGUUAUUAGGAAGGAACAUAUGUUUAAGUAACUGUGCACAUCUUGACGGUACCUAAUCAGAAAGCCACGGCUAACUACGUG